AACGAACGUUGGCGGCGUGGAUUAGGCAUGCAAGUCGCGGGAAUCCCAGCAAUGGGGGAACCGGCGUAAGGGGCAGUAAGGCGUGGGUACCUACCUUGGGGUCCGGGAUAGCCGUCCGAGAGGGCGGGUAAUACCGGAUGACCUCGGGAGAGCAAAGCUCCGGCGCCCUGAGAGGGGCCCACGUGAUAUUAGCUGGUUGGUGAGGUGACGGCUCACCAAGGCGGAGAUGUCUAGCGGGUGUGAGAGCACGACCCGCGCCACUCGCACUGAGACACUGGCGAGACACCUACGGGUGGCUGCAGUCGAGGAUCUUCGGCAAUGCGCGCAAGCGCGACCGAGCGACGCCGCGUGGGCGAUGAAGGCCUUCGGGUUGUAAAGCCCUGUCGAGGGGGAGAAAAGCCCGCAAGGGUGUGAUCUAUCCCUGGAGGAAGCUCGGGCUAAGUUCGUGCCAGCAGCCGCCGUAACAC
rnacentral:rRNA from 1 species